rnacentral:tRNA from 1 species
CCCCGGUUAGUUUAGUUGGUAGGGCGUUCCACAGGAAAUGGAGAGGUCCCUGGUUCGAUACCAGGACCAGGCG